GUGGAACUCUCAGGUCACAGAGAUUCAGGGUGGUCAGAGGCGGUUUGAUGUUUUGGGGAGAAAGAACAGCCGUGAAGGAUUCUGUGAUGCAGGAGAAGGUGGGAGGCCUCAGGACAGAAUCAGCAGGUCACCAUGCUUUCCUGCGUCAUCCACCUGUGGGCCUCUAAUGUGUUUCUAUGAAGUUUGCAUUAAAGUUUCAGCCACUAUUUUUCAGAAACAUGGUCAACCUCUCCUUCCCUCCUCUAUCUGCUGAUAGAGUUCUACAGAAAACAAGGGAAUGACUUGAGGAGGGGGAUUCUGAAGGUUGUUGGUGGAUUCCUAGAAUGUAGCCCGCAGAACUGUGCCUGGAACGAUACCGGAUCACUGCAAAAGUACAGCGAACAGGGUCGCUUUGAAUAUUAAAGGAGGACUUUUUCAAAGUGUAUAGAGAGCAGUCAAAAGAUCGCCACAGUUGCUCUGUGUUUUCGUGAGCCAGCUUUCUCGGAAGGUGAGCUGGUUCCGCUCUGCCUGGGUUUACUGUUUCAGAGGAGUGGUUCUCAGCUGCCGGACUGGCAUAGUCCUGUGUUCACACAGUUUCCUAAUCCUGAAACCAGCAAUCACAAAGUCAGUUCCUCAUCAAGAGAUCAAAGUCAUUCAUUUUGGAUACAAUCAUAUUUUCAGGCUAAAGGGAAGGUUGGGAAGGUCAGGCAUUAGAAUGCUGGAGGAGUGUCCUUGGCAGAGAAGGACUAAGCCAGUGGAUCACAAACAUCCUGGAGAGCAGUGACUCUGUGAUUCCAUCACAAGAAUAUGAAGGACUGAGAAGAUCUCCAGCUCUGCCCAUUGCACCUUCCCAUUGAGAAGCAGCAUGGCACCCUGGUGGCAGGGGCUGAUACUCAGCCGGGCCAGGGUGCUCUCCUGUUAACCAUAACCAAGCUCACAGGACAUGGGAUGAGCCCACUGUGUGACACAGGGAGCGGGACACAGUCUGUUAAGUCUUGCACAGCCAUGCUCUGCCACGCAGGCAGGCCUUUCCUUGGCCUCCCUCUCCCUGUUCGUGCUCAUGUGAACAUCCACCUACGUGGAUAGACUGGGCUUUGGUUCAUUAUUGCUCUGUGAAUUCCUCGAACUUCCGCAUCUGCCCAACCUCCCCCACCCCAUUGUUUUCAUUGUGUUUCACCAAAUGGAAAUUCUAGAGUAAGCAUGUGAGUCCUCUCCCAAACUUGUUCACUGUUGAGAGUGCUAAAAUGCUAACCCCAGAUGCUAACUGAGGGGUAGGGUUACCUUAUCUUUAGAGCACUGCGAAUUGUAUGUUAAGUGGAACUUAAUGAAAAAAUAGUUAAUUGACCAACAUGAAUAUCCCCUGAACAGAAUCUCCCCUGAACAGAAUCCUACAAUGAAACUAAGGGAGAUAAAUAAAGCUGUUUACCUGAAAGCUCUCUCUAAUCAAGAUCCUUUGAAAUUUAUAAAACAUGGUCAAUAUUUGCACUGGACUUUGUAAAAAUAAAGCUUGAUAAGAGAAGAGUUUGAAGUGAAAUGCUGCCACUUUCUAUGCAAUAUUUGAUUUAAAUUUAAUUCCUAGAAACCUCAGAUGAAUGUGGUUCAUGUAUCAAAGCACUCAGCAUUAUUUAUCGCGGCCUUAAAUACACAGUGAGCUUACAUGUGAAUGAAUACAUAUAUUAUGUAUCUCUCUCUAUAUAUAUACUAUAUAGAUAAUAU
rnacentral:lncRNA from 1 species